UAACCGCGAAGCCUGGACACCGCGGGGGUGGCGCGCAGGCACUCCUGGGCCUGGAAGGAAGCUCGAGGUCGUCUGGUCAAUCACCCCGGGCAAGUCCUGCGCCAGCGGCCGCCCCACCCGGGGCUGGGACGUGCAGGCCGCCCCGGAGUCUCAGAUAAUGCCCUUACAAUCCGGGUUGGAAAUGCAUAACCCGUACGUGACCGGACCACGUAGGCCCUUUCCACAGAGCUGAGCUCAGACCCAGUGAGGGGACGAGGAGACAGUGACAGUUUGGGAACUGACAGAGGCUGGGGUUUGCGCCGGGGACGGGGAACCACCAAUAACCAGACCCUGCGCAGUACGUGACCUUAGUCCUGGGAGGUGGGGGGGAAACCCCGCGUCCGUUGAUUCCCACGGCGCCCCUGGGAGACCCCACGCCAACCCGCCCGCUCAUGGGGGGGCCCAAGGGCCCAGGCGCCUACCCGUAGGCCCCGAGGUCCAGGGUGUGCAGCUCCAGCUGGGGCUCG